ACUCUAACUUUGGGCAGGACUUCUAAGAGCUUCUAAUCUGUAACUCCUUUUUGUACACCAACCCCAACCACCCAGCCUUGGGAAACUGAGUGUACAAGGCCUCAGCCUGGGUACACCGAAAGGAAGCAGAGAGGAGAAGCGAGUCAAGAAGCUUGAGAUCUGACACAGGAUGACACAGCAAGAAGGCCCUCACCAGAUGCUGAGCAGAUGCCGGCACCAUGCCUGUGGACUUCCCAGCCUCCAGAACUGUAAACGCUGCAUUUCUACAACAGCCACCUGUGCAGGCCCUGCAUGCUCUGUAACCUGGGGAUUUGGUCUUCUGAAAAGGGCACCAGAGAAAAACUGCUCUUAAGCCUCUGUUAACUGACACAGCAGUAGAACUCCAAGGUGUUGAUCCUUGGAUUCAUGUUUCUCAACUUCAGAGACACACAUCACUCCUUCCUGACCACUGGGCAUCCAUCCCACCAGGAGCUCCUAAUCUGAGAGCUGUUAGAAAUCCUCCAAAAGUGCUGACUGCAGAAGUUGGUAGCUUCUGCUCAAGAUGACAGAACAAGAUUAACUUUUGUAUUCUUCAGCACCUUUUUUAUUUUCCAUUAUCACACUUUGAUACCCUCUAAAACAUUAAAACACCUUCUAGAAUGCUUAUGUGAUCA
rnacentral:lncRNA from 1 species